GAGAGAGUCGUGUUGUGGCUGUUCAAAACAGGCCUGUCCCGUCUCUGGGUUGUCUGCACAUUCUCCGGUGGUGUGCGGAGACUCGGGUUGCUGCAGCUGAAGUGUAGCUCCUCCCUGAAUCUGAAUAAGAAAAAGUUAACCCACUCAAUGUUGGUGCUGACCAACAUCCUACAGGGAAUGAUGUGGGGAGAGAGCAUCACAUACCCAACCAAUGAGAGAGCAAGGCCAACUGGGCUCUCUCGGACUCUGGCUGCUGAUGGUACAUGGCAUGAGCUGGGAUUCAAAUCAGUGAUUCUCAGAACAUACAAGCUCCAGCAUGGCGCUGUGUCCUCGGCUGUCGGCCAAGCUAGCUGGGGUGUCCCCCUGUUUGUUGGGAAGGGCCAACGCCUGCUGAGC